CCUACGGGUGGCUGCAGUGGGGAAUAUUGGACAAUGGGCGAAAGCCUGAUCCAGCCAUGCCGCGUGUGUGAAGAAGGCCUUCGGGUUGUAAAGCACUUUCAGUGGGGAAGAAAGCCUUGGGGCUAAUACCCUCGAGGAAGGACAUCACCCACAGAAGAAGCACCGGCUAACUCCGUGCCAGCAGCCGCGGUAAUACGGAGGGUGCGAGCGUUAAUCGGAAUUACUGGGCGUAAAGCGCGCGUAGGCGGUCUGAUAAGCCGGGUGUGAAAGCCCCGGGCUCAACCUGGGAACGGCAUCCGGAACUGUCAGGCUAGAGUGCAUGAGAGGAAGGUAGAAUUCCCGGUGUAGCGGUGAAAUGCGUAGAGAUCUGGAGGAAUACCAGUGGCGAAGGCGGCCUUCUGGAAUGACACUGACGCUGAGGUGCGAAAGCGUGGGUAGCAAACAGGAUUAGAUACCCGGGUAGUC
rnacentral:rRNA from 1 species